CUAAGUUUGAUGGCGACCGGCGCACGGGUGGGUAACACGUAUCCAACCUGCCGAUGACUCGGGGAUAGCCUUUCGAAAGAAAGAUUAAUACCCGAUGGCAUAGUUCUUCCGCAUGGUAGAACUAUUAAAGAAUUUCGGUCAUCGAUGGGGAUGCGUUCCAUUAGGUUGUUGGCGGGGUAACGGCCCACCAAGCCUUCGAUGGAUAGGGGUUCUGAGAGGAAGGUCCCCCACAUUGGAACUGAGACACGGUCCAAACUCCUACGGGAGGCAGCAUG
rnacentral:rRNA from 1 species